CGGCAGCGGCGGCGGACAGGCAGCGGGCCCUAGCUCCAGCGGUUACGGAUCUGGUGGCGGCACUGGUACUGGCUCCAGUGAGGUGACUAAUGGCUGGUACCCAUAUGCGAAUGCAAAUGCUAAUGGUAAUGGUGGAGGCACGGGAAGUGGUCAGAAUGGCGGCAGCGGCGGCGGCACGGGACGUGGCAACGGUUAUGGCGAUGCAUACCCUUGAAGUUAUCUCUAUAUAGUUGAUCGAUCUGAAGAUGGAGCCAAACUUUCAUGUUGUUUUCCUUCUGUUUGAACUGCUGGCCUCGUUAGUUUGCAGCCUUUAACUUCUCCUAAGCUUUCGUUCAUGUAAUGGAUGAACCAAUAAAGGGCCCCAUCAACUUGUGUUAUUACUCUUCGCUACCUUGGCAUUUAAAUUCAGGUUUCUUUUCUCUGUAUAUCAGAGCGACA
rnacentral:lncRNA from 1 species